rnacentral:rRNA from 1 species
UGGGGAAUAUUGCACAAUGGGGGAAACCCUGAUGCAGCAAUGCCGCGUGUGUGAAGAAGGCCUGCGGGUUGUAAAGCACUUUCAGUAGAGACGAAAAGCUUAGGGUUAAUACCCUUGAGUCUUGACUUAACCUACAGAAGAAGCACCGGCUAACUCCGUGCCAGCAGCCGCGGUAAUACGGAGGGUGCGAGCGUUAAUCGGAAUCACUGGGCGUAAAGCGCGCGUAGGUGGUUUACUCAGUCGGAUGUGAAAGCCCCGGGCUUAACCUGGGAAUUGCAUUCGAUACUAGUAGACUAGAGUGUGGUAGAGGGAAGUGGAAUUCCGGGUGUAGCGGUGAAAUGCGUAGAUAUCCGGAGGAACAUCAGUGGCGAAGGCGACUUCCUGGACCAACACUGACACUGAGGUGCGAAAGCGUGGGGAGCAAACAGGAUUAGAUACCCCCGUAGUCC